UGCAGUCGAGCGGCCCUCGCAUACCGCAACGGCAGACGGGAGAGUCCACGUGGGAACGUGCCUUUCAGUUCCGAACAAGCCCAGGGAAACUUGGGCUAAUACCGGAUACGCCCUUACUGGGAAAGAUUUAUCGCCGAAAGAUCGGCCCGCGUCUGAUUAGCUAGUUGGUGGGGUAACGGCUCACCAAGGCGACCAUCAGUAGCUGGUCUGAGAGGAUGAUCAGCCUCACUGGGACUGAGACACAGACCACACUCCUACGGGAGGCAACAGUGGG
rnacentral:rRNA from 1 species